GUGUAAUUUUUUGUGCUAAGAUCAUACAGUUAUAAAUAUUCUGUCUCUUUCUCUCUUUUUUUAAGAGGCGUCUUGCUCUGUCACCCCAAUCUAAAGUACAGUGGCAUUACCAUAGCUCACUGCAGCCUUGAACUCCUGGGCUCAAGUGAUCCUCCUGCUCUACCUCCCAAGUAACUGGGACUGUAGGCACACACCACCACAUAUGCCUAAUUUUUAUUUUAAGAGAUUAGGGUCUCUCUUUGUUGCCAAGGCUGCUCUUGAACUUCUGGCCUCAAGCAAUCACCUCAGCGUUCUGAGUAGCUAGGAUUACAGGUGCAAGCCACUGUAUUCGGCUCCUACUGUGUCUUAAUACUGUCUUAAAAUUGUUUACCUCUUCCACUAUCAUUAUUCUUCUAUUUCAGGUUAUUCUAGGCUAUUACUUGUUUGCUUUUCCAGAUGAAUUUAAAAUAAGACAAUUAAAAUUUCAAACAGACAAACAUAAGAGCAACUGAACAUCUGUUGGUUUUUUGAUAGGACAACAUCUGAAUUUGCAAAUUUAACUUAGGGACAGCUGACAUCUUUCAACUGCUGAGUCUUCCUAUUCAAAAGUACGCAAUAUCGUUCCACAUUUUUGUUAAUUUUUUCAUUAUACUACCACAGGGUUUUCUAUUAUAUUAUUACUAUUAUUUUAAAAUACCAGUUCUUGAUUUCAUUUGUCAGUGCUACUGUUUAUCUAAUUUUUAUAUUUCUGUUUUAAUCAUUUCCUUUUUUACUGCAUGCGAAAGGUUUUAUUUAACUCCUUAGCUAAUGAGGAAACCAGGAAGAUCCAGUUGAAGGUGAGAAUUCGAAGAAUUAACAUAUAUAGGCAAAGGAAAACUGAUAUAAAUUUAUAAAUACCUUACCAGCAAAACUGAUCAAUAAUCAUCGGGCAAUAAUCAACUACAUCUCCACCAGAUGCACUUUAUUUGCAUCUCUAAAGAUAAGUAUCAUUUGUGUUAAUAUCAGUUUUCUGCAACUUACAGAGCUAUAAAACAGCUAAAGACCAUGAAAGGCACAGGCCCCAACAGAAUCAGAUAAACUGCAGAGUGCACUAGAAAAGACACCCAACAUCAUCUCUUUUUCUUUCCAUUUCAAAGUCGUAUACAAAUUUUUCUAACAGAAAUAUGGGGUUAUUUUCUAAGGUAAUAUAUUUAAAAUAGUCAUCGCAGUUCUUGGCACAUCGUGGUUGAUGCUAAAAAAUCCUCUUCCCUGUCUUUCAGUAUAAUGAUGUCACAGGAAGAGAGAUGUCUUUCAUGCAAAUGAGUUGGAAAAGUGUGUAAAAUAGGCUGUAGGGCUCAGAGAGGUGUUCGCCGUGACCGUUACAAUGAAGAGGAAAGAGAUCAUCCCCUUUCUACUCCUACAUCCCCAAGUGAAGAGGACAUGGAGUACAGCCACAGCCACACUUAAAGGGCAUGUAACAUGAACAAAAAUAAAUGUUUGUUGUAAGC
rnacentral:lncRNA from 1 species